rnacentral:tRNA from 1 species
AUAGUAUAAAUAAUUACAUUUAAUUUCGACUUAAAAAAUGAUACAUAAUCU